rnacentral:rRNA from 1 species
UACAGAGGUCUCAAGCGUUGUUCGGAUUCAUUGGGCGUAAAGGGUGCGUAGGUGGCGCUGUAAGUCGGGUGUGAAAUUUCGGAGCUUAACUCCGAAAACUGCAUUCGAUACUGCGGUGCUUGAGGACUGGAGAGGAGACUGGAAAUUCAUGGUGUAGCAGUGAAAUGCGUAGAGAUCAUGAGGAAGACCAGUGGCGAAGGCGGGUCUCUGGACAGUUCCUGACACUGAGGCACGAAGGCCAGGGGGAGCAAACGGG